rnacentral:rRNA from 1 species
AGUCACUGACAUUAGAUACCCGCGUAGUCCUAGCCGUAAACGAUGUGGACUUGGUGUUGGAAUGGCUCCGAGCUGCUCCAGUGCCGAAGGGAAGCUGUUAAGUCCACCGCCUGGGAAGUACGGUCGCAAGACUGAAACUUAAAGGAAUUGGCGGGGAGCACCACAACGCGUGGAGCCUGCGGUUUAAUUGGAUUCAACGCCGGACACCUCACCAGGGGCGACAGCAGAAUGAUGGCCAGGUUGAUGACCUUGCUUGACAAGCUG